ensembl:lncRNA
CUCUAACAAGGAUCAGAGUAGGCACUGGAGAUGAAGCCUACUGCGAGUUCCUCUCCUAAUUUAUCCUCCAUCCUAACACACCAACAGUCCUUGACUUUAGUCUACUGGUUAAAUGAGGAAAGAAGUAAUAAGCAGGUGAUUAAGGGCUAUUUUAUCUUAUAUUUUUCAAUGUUUAUACUCUGAUAUUAAGUUUCUAACCUUUACUCUAUGAAUUUUUUUAAAUCCUCUGUCUAAUUUUCCUAAAUGGCAACUCCCCCUCAUUGGGCCUGUAUUAUAGAGGGAACAUUUCAGGUACAGUGCCUUCCCAAUUAAGGAGAAAACAAGUGAUUGCUUCUUCUAGCCCCAACUUUCUUUUUCUUUUUUUUUUUUUUAAGAUUUUAUUUUUUCCUUUUUCUCCCCAAAGCCCCCCGGUACAUAUAGUUGUGUAUUCUUCGUUGUGGGUUCCUCUAGCUGUGGCAUGUGGGACGCCGCCUCAGCGUGGUCUGACGAGCAGUGCCAUGUCCGCGCCCAGGAUUCGAACCGACGAAACACUGGGCCGCCUGCAGCGGAGCGCGCGAACUUAACCACUCGGCCACGGGGCCAGCCCCAAGCCCCAACUUUCAAAGGGGAGAUAAAGAUGGGAGGUGGAGCAAAUCACAAUGAAACAAACAAGUCCCAGGUUUCGUCCUGAGAUCAUUAGACAUGCCGCCUACUGGCUGAUCCUUCCUACAGCUGCGGUCAGUAUGGUAAAAGACUGACAAAGAGGCUCCUGGACACUCCAGAUCCCGGUCUUAACCACACCAGUAGAGCACGCCUACUGGCUUUCCAGCAAGCGAGUCAAUGAAUUUUUCAACAUCUUGAUAUUCUUUGUUGGAAGUCUCUCAAACAUCAACAUCUCUAAGACAGCACAUCUCCCGCCAGCUCUCUAGCCCCUUACUCAGCUUUAUUUUUAAAGCACAACCUACAAUUAUAUGUUUAUUUGCUUACUUGCUAACUUUUUCCCCAAGCAGACUAUCAGUUCCUUGAAGACAGGCGUCUUUUCUGCUGUGGACAUAUCUCAUGCCCAGCGCCUAGAACAGAGCACAGCAUAGAGGGCGUCUGCAUAAACACCUGAGAGAAAGAGGGAGAGAGCUGAAGGAAGGACAGACAAGAGAUCUUGAAGACAAGCAUAGUAAUCAAGACUGUGGGCACUCUAGGUUGGCUGCCAAGAUUUUACUCCCAGCUCCACCAAGUGGCAUGCUGCCCACCCUCCCUAGGCCUCAGUCUCAUCUUCUGAAAAUGGGAAUAGUAUGACCUACCUCAAAAGCCCUUUGGAGGGGAUAAAAUGAACUGAUAUAUGUAAGACUCUCAAUGCCUAGAACCGAAUAAGCACUCACUAAAACUGAGGUUAUUGUUAAACAAGGCUAUACCAAGCCUUUUUCUAUCCAAUUCAGGGAGAAUCAUGACAAGAUCUUAGCACACAAUGAGUUUGUUCUUCCUCCUACAGACACCUAGAAUAACAAUGUCUAACUUAGCUGAUGCCGCUGACAUCGGUUUACAAGCUUGGAAGCCGUCCCGUGAUUCUAAUACCUUCUUAAAAGAAUUCCUGGGGAUAUGAGGUAGUGUGGUAGGCAAAAUCCAUUUGGAUGCCUGGGAAUUCUUGUUCUCUGAUCCUCUAUUGAGGAUGCUUGUUUUCCCAACUAGAGAGAUUUACUCUUGACCAUCUUCAACUCGCUUCAAGUCCCAUUGAAUCUUUUCAUCAUUUGGAUGUUUAUAAAUCACACCUCGAUUUGCUGAUUAGGAAUCUAUUUGAUUUCCUCACCUUUCCUAGAAUUGCGUACUCCCUAUUCUAUGUGUAGAUCUCAUUCAUCGUGUAACAACCAAUUCAAGGGCAUGCGUUAUACUUCAAACUCCCUUUAUAAAAUUUCAAUGGCAAAGGCAAUGAACAUCUCAGAAGUCCAUUUCUAAUUUUUACCAUUAAAGCAACUGGUGUAAAUUAUGGGCAUCAGAAGAAAUAAUAAGCACCUAAAAUGAGAAAUGAAUACAGAUAAAGCAUACAUUCCUGCCUAUUUGAAGUAGGCUUGGCCAGGUGACUUGCUUUGGCCAAUGGAAUGCUACCAGGCAAGAAACCAGGAGAGGCUUUCAAUGGGCUUGCAUCGGUUCUUCUUCUUCAUUCUUCCAUGAGAAGGACACGCCAGUCCCAGAAUAGCAAAGGCACAGGAGUAGAUCUUGCCCAUAAUAUUUAGAUUAACAAAAAGGAAAGCAAAAACGUACUUUGAUGUACAAAAUAAUCGAUAAUAACAUCUUUUUAAAAAAAAGAUCUGGUGUAAAAUUUGAUUCCAAUAGCCUUCUUGGCAAAGAGAUUUCCUGUUACUAUUUAAAUGUAAAUGAAUCAUGAAGGUUGUGUCAAAAAUAUUUAACUCAAAACCAGACCCAGUACAGCAAGAAAGACAGAGAACAAAGCCCAACCAAGCAAGUGGAAAUAAAAAUGUUCGAGUUUCCAGAUUUUGAUAACUUUAUGCACCUAGAAACAGAGGGAAGUGAUAAAUGGGUACAAUUAAGAUACUGUACAUGCCAUUUAUUAAAUAUUGUGUGACAUGCAACUGUAUGGAUUUCUAGCUUAACCAAUCACAAAUUUAAUCAGAACAUUUAACACUUUGUCUCUAUGGUGCUUUGGAGAAUUCAACUAUCGAUUAAAACAUAUUUAUGUGUCCAUUCACAACAAUCCAUUUUAAGAGUCUUUGAUUUUUCAAAGAAGAAAAAAAAAAGAAGUCUAAUUGUGGCCUCAAUGUCCUAAUGAGAAACAUAAGCUUGAAAUCAUAUCUCAGUUCCAACCCACUGAAGAAGACAUGCAAUUUAAAAGAAUUUAAAAGAAUUAAUCACAGCUGUGAGAAUGCCGCCUACAGAGACUUUUACUUAACCAAAUAUUAAUGCAAUUUACUCAGUUAAUUUUACUUGUUUGGAAGGAAAAUGUCCAUAUAGACUUGCAAUUAAAGAUGAAUGCUAGAAUUUGUUCAAGGAUAAAACAACAACAGUAACAGCAACAACCAUCUAUAGAGCUCCAACAAUGUGCCAGGUGCUGUGCUAAGAGAUUUACUUGCAAAAUCUUAUUUAUUGAAGACAACACUGUGAUGUGUAGGUAUUGUGUUCAGUUGGAUUAUUGUCACUCUUUGUCUUUUCCAUGUUACUUUUAAUGCCUCCCGCUACAGUAGAUAAAGCAUACAUUCCUGCCUAUUUGAAGUAGGCUUGGCCAGGUGACUUGCUUUGGCCAAUGGAAUGCUACCAGGCAAGAAACCAGGAGAGGCUUUCAAUGGGCUUGCAUCGGUUCUUCUUCUUCAUUCUUCCAUGAGAAGGACACGCCAGUCCCAGAAUAGCAAAGGCACAGGAGUAGAUCUGAACCCAAUCGGCGUAGAGUCUGGGUAAACUACAGCCAACCUACAGGCCCAUGAUCAAGAAAAAUAAGUGUUUUCUGCUGAACUAUGACCCAAGUCCACCAGAGAGCAACGAUGAGCAAAAACACCUCAUUUCAUGCCCAUAUGGAGCUCACAGUCAAAGGAGGGUGACAGAUGGAUCAAACCAUCCCAUAGCUUACUUCGAAGUCACAGCUGGCAUCAGUAUUACAAAGAGAAGUUACAGGGUUCCAUGAGAGUGUAAGAGUCAAAAUUAUGACCUACUCAGAGAUGUCAAGGGCAGCUAAGAAAACAAGAGGUGAGUUGAGAUCUCAAGCAUGAAGAGGACCCACAUGGGCAAAGGCAAGGGAGAAGAACAUUCUGGAGAGUAGAAAAUAGUAUACACAGAGAAUUAGUGGCAGAAGGGAGCCCAGGAUACCCUAAGUCCAAAGAAGUCCAAAGCAUCUAGAGCAUCAAAUUCCAAAGGGAUGUGGUGGGAGACACAUCUGACAAGCAGGUAUUACCCAAUGUCAUCUGCCCAGCAACCCUUGGCAAUAAAUAGUUACUAUUACCAUUUUCAGAUGGAAAAACUGGGGCCCAGAGCUUUCCCCAAGGCCAACCAGCUGAUCCAUGCUAGAGCAGAGGAUCAAAUUCAUGCGUAUCUGGCCAUGGAGGCCAAGCACCCACCAUCAUACUGCACUGUCUCUCAAAGCAGAAGAACAUAAGGACCGUUAUUUAGUGGAAUAGUUACUAUAAUUACCACCAACACCUAGAUUAUAGAAAUGCCUCUUUUUCACCUAUAUACAUCUCAUGAUUAGUGGUCUAUUUGGUAGUGUUUACACUGUUUCAUUUUAUAAUUUCCUUGUGUAAAAUAUAUUAUACUGACCCUUACAGAACUGCCAUUUUUAUAGGUUAAAAAUGGUCAAAUAUUAUGGUUUCAGGUUUUAAUUCAUACACUCACAUAAGCAAAACAUGUGAACUGUUGAAUAAAUUAUUAUAAAAUGAACAGGUAUGGCACCACCAUCCAGAUGAAGAAAUAGAAUGUUCACAAUGCCCCGAAAGAGCUCUGAGUUCCCCUUCCCCAUGAUGCGUGUCCAGGGGUGUGCCGAGGGUGGGGGAGAUGACUGAUCCGCCCCAGGUACAGACAACAAGGAGAGAGAGUGUUGCCCUUAAAGGACAGCCCACUGUAGACACGCUUGGCACACCAUGCGUGCGUCUGCUCCAAUACAGUGAUUCUCAACUCAGGGGCAGGAAGAAAGCCAGGCGAAAUGCUUCUUCACCAACUCCAACACGACGUAGCUUCCAGAUCAUUUAGAGCAACUCAUCACAGCCUUUCCACGCGACAGUUCUGAGGGUUAAUGAACUGUAGGGAAGAACUGUUGACAGUCACACUCCCUUCUCGGACGAAGCCCCAGCUUCCAGCCCCAGCAGCACAAUGAAUCACCUCGUUGUCCAUUGUCCCAGAGCCCAUGACUGCUGAAAGGUGAGGCCCUGGAUUGGCCUCUUCCACAGUCAGCAGUCUUUAUGGUGCCGCACUUUCUCUGGGUCAGGCAAACUCACAGCCGUGGUCCCAGCCUGACAGCCAGGGCACCUGCGUGUUGAGCUCGGCUCUCAGCCGAGGUGCACUGGAGGCUGGUUUCCAACAUAGCUUAAACACAAUUAACUUUUCAUUUGAUUCUGGCUGCCUCUCUCCACUCCUAAUGUUCCCUUAGGACCUAGGAUGCAAUAAAGUCCAGCCUGUGACUAAGAAGGCUAGGCAGAGAAACUGACCAAAUAUUGUCCAACACUAUAUUACAAACCUAUAGGAAAGGAGUUUAAUUAAAGACCACAACAAUUCUUUGGGGAAAUGUUUCUUUUAUUAACCAUUCCUGCCGAACAAAGCAGCUUUAAACAAACCCUGACUGCUUGGAAAUUGUGUAUGCCUGAGAUUUCUUUUUUCUUCUUAAUCUGUUCUGCUUUUUGGUUAUUUGGUCAUUAGGAAAAUCAGAAGUGUCUUGGACCCAAGAAAUCCAAUUUAAGUAAGCUCAUUCCACAUUUAUAAAUAUGAGCAGAUGACAUUUAAAACAGACAAACCAACAGGGACAGUCUUAAGUAUGAAAUUGUUGUUUAGCAUAAAGUAUUACCAUAAAUAUAGAGGGGAGCUAUUUGUGGAUAAACUAACAAGUUCAGGGCAUUUCAGUGAAAUCUAUGCACAGCCCCAAUGUGGAUACGACAUUUAUAAAUGCAGAGGAAAUGCAAUUCUUUUAUGCGCUAGUGUAAUGAAACCACUAGUUAGUGUCACUGAUAUGAUAGCACCAACUGGAAAAGAGUGAAUGAGAAAGCAGAAAUAAAAAUGCAAGAACCACAUCUAACGGAGCAAUGAAAUUGGAUUUUAAAGUAUUAUUGGAAAAGAGGAAAUACCACGGAGGAGCAAAGACAUGUGUAUGAAUUUUUUUAAACCCAAGGAAAGUCAGAGGAUAUAUAAAUUUAAAACUGACCCGUGAGUCCACGUGAACCUUCCAAGGCCAUGCAGUUAGCCACAGGCACAUACCAUGUGGAGACUCACUCUUCGAGAAGGGGCGCGGGACAAGGAGAACACGUGAAACUGUGCUCGCUUUUCUCAAAAAUGCCAAGAAAAUUACAAAGAAACAGAGCAAACAUUCGGUAAACGCAGAGCUUAUUAAGAAUGCAUGAUAAAAUUCUACCACCAACAUUUUCGUGACCAAUAAAUGCACCUGUUCCUAAAGUAUUCACAGAAUAUGACUCUCUACCUAGACAUGCAUUCUCUAGAAGAACUUUCCUUGGCCUAAUCCUAAGUGAGUUACAUGUGGCAAAUUUUCCAAAGAUGGCUUCUGCGACGUCCCUCCUCCCAGAUGUUCUUUUUGCAACGAGAGCUUGCAAUGCCCCAUCAGGUGGUGGAGUCUAUUUCUGCAUCCCUUUGAAUCCAGGCAGGCCCCGGGAGUGCAUUGACCAGAGUUAUACAGCGGAAGUGACCCUGUGCCAAUCAUACUCAUAGCCCUUAACUGGGCUAGUGGCUUCCAGUUCCCACCUCUUGAAAGUCGGCUGCCAUAAAAAAGUAAUUAUGGCAAGACCACUAUGCUCUCUCUGAGUAGCCGAGCCACAUGGUGCCGAGGAGGAUGUGGAGAGAAAGAGAGGCCAAGGAGCAUUAUUGGCACCAGACAUAUGAUUGAAAAGGCCAUCUUGGAAGAGAAUCCUCCCACUGCAUAGGCCCAGCUCAUGGCCUGAGGGUCAGAUUCAAACUGCCUGGCCACGUCCCUCCCAAAUUCCUGACGCAAAAAAUCGAAAGCAAAAUAAAAGGUCUAUCUUAAGCUACAAAUUGGGUAGUUUUCUACACAGCAAUAGAUAACUGGAAGAUUAACCUUCCAUAUUUGAACUUCAACUGGAAAAUGUGUAUUUUGCCCCAGUUGAAUUCUAAGGUUUUUACCCUUCUUUGAAAUUUUGAGUCAUGCAACUUUUCAAUACUUCUUCAGAAAUCUCAAUGCUGC